rfam:Triticum aestivum genome assembly, contig: Triticum_aestivum_CS42_TGACv1_scaffold_221697_3B
GUGCUACUCCCUCCGUUCCAAAUUACUUGACCCAUAUUUAUCUAUACACGAAUGUAUCUAGACACUAAACAAGUAUAGAUACAUCCGUACUUAGAAAAAUUCAAGUCAACUAAUUUGGAACGGAGGGAGUAUUAG